AGAACCUGAAACCGUGUGCUUACAAGUAGUCAGAGCCCGUUAAUGGGUGAUGGCGUGCCUUUUGUAGAAUGAACCGGCGAGUUACGAUUUGAUGCAAGGUUAAGCAGUAAAUGUGGAGCCGUAGCGAAAGCGAGUCUGAAUAGGGCGUUUAGUAUUUGGUCGUAGACCCGAAACCAGGUGAUCUACCCUUGGUCAGGUUGAAGUUCAGGUAACACUGAAUGGAGGACCGAACCGACUUACGUUGAAAAGUGAGCGGAUGAACUGAGGGUAGCGGAGAAAUUCCAAUCGAACCUGGAGAUAGCUGGUUCUCUCCGAAAUAGCUUUAGGGCUAGCCUCAAGUGAUGAUUAUUGGAGGUAGAGCACUGUUUGGACGAGGGGCCCCUCUCGGGUUACCGAAUUCAGACAAACUCCGAAUGCCAAUUAAUUUAACUUGGGAGUCAGAACAUGGGUGAUAAGGUCCGUGUUCGAAAGGGAAACAGCCCAGACCACCAGCUAAGGUCCCAAAAUAUAUGUUAAGUGGAAAAGGAUGUGGCGUUGCCCAGACAACUAGGAUGUUGGCUUAGAAGCAGCCAUCAUUUAAAGAGUGCGUAAUAGCUCACUAGUCGAGUGACACUGCGCCGAAAAUGUACCGGGGCUAAACAUAUUACCGAAGCUGUGGAUUGUCCUUUGGACAAUGGUAGGAGAGCGUUCUAAGGGCGUUGAAGCAUGAUCGUAAGGACAUGUGGAGCGCUUAGAAGUGAGAAUGCCGGUGUGAGUAGCGAAAGACGGGUGAGAAUCCCGUCCACCGAUUGACUAAGGUUUCCAGAGGAAGGCUCGUCCGCUCUGGGUUAGUCGGGUCCUAAGCUGAGGCCGACAGGCGUAGGCGAUGGAUAACAGGUUGAUAUUCCUGUACCACCUAUAAUCGUUUUAAUCGAUGGGGGGACGCAGUAGGAUAGGCGAAGCGUGCGAUUGGAUUGCACGUCUAAGCAGUAAGGCUGAGUAUUAGGCAAAUCCGGUACUCGUUAAGGCUGAGCUGUGAUGGGGAGAAGACAUUGUGUCUUCGAGUCGUUGAUUUCACACUGCCGAGAAAAGCCUCUAGAUAGAAAAUAGGUGCCCGUACCGCAAACCGACACAGGUAGUCAAGAUGAGAAUUCUAAGGUGAGCGAGCGAACUCUCGUUAAGGAACUCGGCAAAAUGACCCCGUAACUUCGGGAGAAGGGGUGCUCUUUAGGGUUAACGCCCAGAAGAGCCGCAGUGAAUAGGCCCAAGCGACUGUUUAUCAAAAACACAGGUCUCUGCUAAACCGUAAGGUGAUGUAUAGGGGCUGACGCCUGCCCGGUGCUGGAAGGUUAAGAGGAGUGGUUAGCUUCUGCGAAGCUACGAAUCGAAGCCCCAGUAAACGGCGGCCGUAACUAUAACGGUCCUAAGGUAGCGAAAUUCCUUGUCGGGUAAGUUCCGACCCGCACGAAAGGCGUAACGAUUUGGGCACUGUCUCAACGAGAGACUCGGUGAAAUCAUAGUACCUGUGAAGAUGCAGGUUACCCGCGACAGGACGGAAAGACCCCGUGGAGCUUUACUGUAGCCUGAUAUUGAAAUUCGGCACAGCUUGUACAGGAUAGGUAGGAGCCUUUGAAACGUGAGCGCUAGCUUACGUGGAGGCGCUGGUGGGAUACUACCCUAGCUGUGUUGGCUUUCUAACCCGCACCACUUAUCGUGGUGGGAGACAGUGUCAGGCGGGCAGUUUGACUGGGGCGGUCGCCUCCUAAAAGGUAACGGAGGCGCUCAAAGGUUCCCUCAGAAUGGUUGGAAAUCAUUCAUAGAGUGUAAAGGCAUAAGGGAGCUUGACUGCGAGACCUACAAGUCGAGCAGGGUCGAAAGACGGACUUAGUGAUCCGGUGGUUCCGCAUGGAAGGGCCAUCGCUCAACGGAUAAAAGCUACCCCGGGGAUAACAGGCUUAUCUCCCCCAAGAGUUCACAUCGACGGGGAGGUUUGGCACCUCGAUGUCGGCUCAUCGCAUCCUGGGGCUGUAGUCGGUCCCAAGGGUUGGGCUGUUCGCCCAUUAAAGCGGUACGCGAGCUGGGUUCAGAACGUCGUGAGACAGUUCGGUCCCUAUCCGUCGUGGGCGUAGGAAAUUUGAGAGGAGCUGUCCUUAGUACGAGAGGACCGGGAUGGACAUACCUCUGGUGUACCAGUUGUCGUGCCAACGGCAUAGCUGGGUAGCUAUGUGUGGACGGGAUAAGUGCUGAAAGCAUCUAAGCAUGAAGCCCCCCUCAAGAUGAGAUUUCCCAACUUCGGUUAUAAGAUCCCUCAAAGAUGAUGAGGUUAAUAGGUUCGAGGUGGAAGCAUGGUGACAUGUGGAGCUGACGAAUACUAAUCGAUCGAAGACUUAAUCAA
rnacentral:rRNA from 2 species